GGGGACAGUAGCUUGGUGCUUUCCCAGGUAAGGGGGACAGUAGCUUGGUGCUUUCCCAGGUAAGGGGACAGUAGCUUGGUGCUUUCCCAGGUAAGGGGGACAGUAGCUUGGUGCUUUCCCAGGUAAGGGGGACAGUAGCUUGGUGCUUUCCCAGGUAAGGGGACAGUAGCUUGGUGCUUUCCCAGGUAAGGGGGCAGUAGCUUGGUGCUUUCCCAGGUAAGGGGGCAGUAGCUUGGUGCUUUCCCAGGUAAGGGGACAGUAGCUUGGUGCUUUCCCAGGUAAGGGGGACAGUAGC